ACUUAAUAUGUGUACCUGCUGUAAAUAUGGACGAAAACUAAUAUGUAGGCUUUAGGUGGGCCUGUACUGAGUUUCAGCUUGCCCAUAAAGGACCUACUAACAUUU
rnacentral:snoRNA from 1 species